UCUACGGGGUGCAGCAGUGAGGAAUAUUGGUCAAUGGACGCAAUUCUGAACCAGCCAUGCCGCGUGCAGGAAGACGGCUCUAUGAGUUGUAAACUGCUUUUGUACGAGGGUAAAUCCCGAUACGUGUAUCGGGGUGAAAGUAUCGUACGAAUAAGGAUCGGCUAACUCCGUGCCAGCAGCCGCGGUAAUACGGAGGAUUCAAGCGUUAUCCGGAUUUAUUGGGUUUAAAGGGUGCGUAGGCGGUUCGAUAAGUUAGAGGUGAAAUCCCGGGGCUCAACUCCGGCACUGCCUCUGAUACUGUCUGGCUAGAGUUUAGUUGCGGUAGGCGGAAUGUAUGGUGUAGCGGUGAAAUGCAUAGAGAUCAUACAGAACACCGAUUGCGAAGGCAGCUUACCAAACUACGACUGACGUUGAGGCACGAAAGCGUGGGGAGCAAACAGGAUUAGAUACCCCAGUAGUC
rnacentral:rRNA from 1 species